rnacentral:rRNA from 1 species
GCCAGACUCCUACGGGAGGCAGCAGUGAGGAAUAUUGGUCAAUGGGCUAAGGCCUGAACCAGCCAAGUCGCGUGAGGGAAGACGGUCCUAUGGAUUGUAAACCUCUUUUGUCGGGGAGCAACGAGGCCACGUGUGGCCGAAGUGAGAGUACCCGAAGAAAAAGCAUCGGCUAACUCCGUGCCAGCAGCCGCGGUAAUACGGAGGAUGCGAGCGUUAUCCGGAUUUAUUGGGUUUAAAGGGUGCGCAGGCGGAGGUGCAAGUCAGCGGUCAAAUUGCGGGGCUCAACCCCGUACUGCCGUUGAAACUGCAUCCCUUGAGUGCGCGGAACGUAUGCGGAAUUCGUGGUGUAGCGGUGAAAUGCUUAGAUAUCACGAAGAACUCCGAUUGCGAAGGCAGCAUACGGCAGCGCUACUGACGCUGAAGCUCGAAGGCGCGGGUAUCGAACAGGAUUAGAUACCCGUGUA